AGGAGCACUUGACUCCAUGGGCAGGAUCUUGCAGGGGAAGCAGUGACCAGGUUCUGCAGAGAGCAGGACGAGUGCUGGUGACAGUGGUGAAGAGGCAGAGUUAGUGUCUCCCAUAGAAAAUGGCCUGGCAAGAGUGCGAGUGGCAGGAGAAACAGAGCCAUUUGUGUCAAGGGCCGCGUAAAGAGCAGUGGGCCAGCUAUCCAGGUUUGGGAUGCCUGGCACUCAUGCUCUGGGGAAGAAUAUGAAGAGGAUGCUCCUACUGCCAAUGACUGAAACACAUACAGACUGACACCCUUACUGAAAUCCUGCCUGAUUGUUCAGAUACCAGGGGCUGAAAACUGUGAACCCCAUGAAGGCCUUGGGGAAGAACCCCUCCCUUUCAGUUGACUGAAACAUUAAAUCACCCCUUCCCCGC
rnacentral:lncRNA from 1 species